CCUGGCUCAGAGCGAACGCUGGCGGCAGGCCUAACACAUGCAAGUCGAACGGACCCUUCGGGGUUAGUGGCGGACGGGUGAGUAACACGUGGGAACGUGCCUUUAGGUUCGGAAUAGCUCCUGGAAACGGGUGGUAAUGCCGAAUGUGCCCUUCGGGGGAAAGAUUUAUCGCCUUUAGAGCGGCCCGCGUCUGAUUAGCUAGUUGGUGAGGUAAUGGCUCACCAAGGCGACGAUCAGUAGCUGGUCUGAGAGGAUGACCAGCCACAUUGGGACUGAGACACGGCCCAAACUCCUACGGGAGGCAGCAGUGGGGAAUCUUGCGCAAUGGGCGAAAGCCUGACGCAGCCAUGCCGCGUGAAUGAUGAAGGUCUUAGGAUUGUAAAAUUCUUUCACCGGGGACGAUAAUGACGGUACCCGGAGAAGAAGCCCCGGCUAACUUCGUGCCAGCAGCCGCGGUAAUACGAAGGGGGCUAGCGUCGCUCGGAAUUACUGGGCGUAAAGGGCGCGUAGGCGGACAUUUAAGUCAGGGGUGAAAUCCCAGAGCUCAACUCUGGAACUGCCUUUGAUACUGGGUGUCUUGAGUGUGAGAGAGGUACGUGGAACUCCGAGUGUAGAGGUGAAAUUCGUAGAUAUUCGGAAGAACACCAGUGGCGAAGGCGACAUACUGGCUCAUUACUGACGCUGAGGCGCGAAAGCGUGGGGAGCAAACAGGAUUAGAUACCCUGGUAGUCCACGCCGUAAACGAUGAUUGCUAGUUGUCGGGCUGCAUGCAGUUCGGUGACGCAGCUAACGCAUUAAGCAAUCCGCCUGGGGAG
rnacentral:rRNA from 1 species